rnacentral:rRNA from 1 species
UACGGGGGGGGCAAGCGUUGUUCGGAAUUACUGGGCGUAAAGGGCUCGUAGGCGGCCAACUAAGUCGGAUGUGAAAUCCCCAGGCUCAACUUGGGAACUGCAUCCGAUACUGGAUGGCUUGAAUCCGGGAGAGGGAUGCAGAAUUCCAGGUGUAGCGGUGAAAUGCGCAGAUAUCAGGAGGAACACCAAUGGCGAAGGCAGCUCGCUGGAACGGUACUGACGCUGAGGCGCGAAAGCGUGGGGAGCGAACAGG